rnacentral:rRNA from 1 species
UACGGAGGGCGCGAGCGUUGUCCGGAAUCACUGGGCGUAAAGGGCGCGUAGGCGGCCUGAUAAGUAGGGGGUGAAAUCCUGCGGCUUAACCGCAGGGCUGCCUUCUAAACUGUCAGGCUGGAGCACAGUAGAGGCAGGUGGAAUUCCCGGUGUAGCGGUGGAAUGCGUAGAGAGUCGGGAAGAACAUCAGUGGCGAAGGCGGCCUGCUGGGCUGUUGCUGACGCUGAGGCGCGACAGCGUGGGGAGCAAACAGG